GAUGAAGAACGUAGCAAAAUGCGAUAAGUAAUGUGAAUUGCAGAAUUCAGUGAAUCAACGAAUCUUUGAACGCACAUUGCGCCCGCCAGUAUUCUGGCGGGCAUGCCUGUUCGAGCGUCAUUACAACCCUCAAGCUCAGCUUGGUGUUGGGACUCGCGGUAACCCGCGUUCCCCAAAUCGAUUGGCGGUCACGUCGAGCUUCCAUAGCGUAGUAAUCAUACACCUCGUUACUGGUAAUCGUCGCGGCCACGCCGUAAAACCCCAACUUCUGAAUGUUGACCUCGGAUCAGGUAGGAAUACCCGCUGAACUUAAGCAUAUCAAUAAGCGGAGGA
rnacentral:misc_RNA from 1 species